AACGGAAACUCAUGUGGUGACACAAAAUGUCAAAAACGUUACAGUUAAAUGUUAAAACCUAGUUAAUAUGGCUUCUGACUCAAGUCUGGACCCAUGAAACAAAUCUCAAAUUACUACUAUACAAAGACGUGAUAUGUUUUUUUUUUUCUUUUUCUUUUUCUAGUAUUAUGACAAAAUUUAAUAUCUGCCUAGGAUACUCUCAACUUGUAAAUACUUAUCUCAGAUUUUCUUGGGUAAUUAAACGUGUUAAUUACCA
rnacentral:lncRNA from 1 species